UACGUAGGGUGCAAGCGUUGCCCGGAUUUACUGGGCGUAAAGCGUUUCGUAGGCGAUUUUACAAGUCACACUUCAAAGACCAGGGCUUAACCUUGGAAAGGGGUGUGAUACUGUAAGAAUUGAAAUAUUUCGGGGCUACUGGAACUAUCGGUGUAGGGAUUAAAUCCAUUGAUAUCGAUAGGAACUCCAAGGGCGUAGGCAGGUAGCUAGGAAUUAUUUGACGCUGAGGAACGAAAGCUAGGGGAGCGAAAGGG
rnacentral:rRNA from 1 species